UUGUUUGUUUGGUUGCAGGUCACUUCUGGUUGUGAGAGAAUCAGCCAUCUACAAAGACGUUGCCUAGGGAAUGCCUGGAUGUGUCACGAUCCUACAGGGAGGCUUCUCUCAUGUCCCCCACUCUGCAAUAAUCACAAGAAACUGAUCUGUAUCAUAGAGACAGAUAGCCAUCUUCUCAGGGUCAUUAAUCACCAAAGCCUGCCAACGUCCUCCAUGAUUUUCAUUUCUGGCAGGAUCCUACCUUCUGCACGUCCCAACAUCAGGCUAUGAAUCCUCAUGGAAGUGACUCCAGUUUCAUAUGAAGGCUAGUAAAAUGGUGGAUACAUGCCAUAGAAUAGGCAUCUGCUCUAAAGUGGCAGCUGUCCAAUUGUCUUGUGGGUGAGAUUGUUGCUGGCAUGCUAGAUUGGUACUGAUUCACAGCAGCUCCUGAUUCCUGCCUGCCCACAUCCCAGCAUUAGGACUGGAUGACAAAAUUUGCCCUCAAGGUUUUCAGAGAUUCACCCAAUCUCUCUUCCCUGUACCCAAAUGAAGAACAACCCAUAGUGCAUACAUGUCUGUACUUGCAAUGUGUUAUGUGAAAAUAAUAUUUUGACAAAAUGUACACAUGAGAAAAGCACACUUUCUGAGACACACAAAGACACUUUAAUUAAUGUGUAUAACAUUUUAAAUCCAAUUGUUAGUUCCAAUUACAGUAUUAAAUCAAAGUGAAUAUGUUCAGUCAAUGUAUUGUGUAAGGUCUACUGUUUCUUUGUGUUGGAAGUAGCAAGAGGAUUUAGGCCAAAACACAUACAUUUGAAAAAGUGCACACAAAUACAUGUAUGGAUUUCUUUAUAGGGUAUGGUAGCCUGUGCAGAAUCAGAAUGUAUUGAGCUUCAAGGUGCAAUUCAGAAAACUUGAAAGAGCUCAAGCCUUAUAGAUCUGUACAUCUUAAUUUAGCAAUGAAUUAGAAAGUAGGACACCAUGAUUCAUGAGGCACAGCAGAGAGAAGUGUCAAGGAGUUGAUAUCUAUAGCCUUCUAAACCCCAGCGCUGUCCAGUUCUCAAGAACAUGUGUCUGUGCUAACAUAGUGCUACCUAGUUUAGAAAUUUUGGAGGAGGGAGAGUGAACAUUUGGGGGGAAAAUUAUUGUGUGUUGAAGAAGCUUAAAUUAAUGACUAGAGGGAAUCAUGCAACACCAGCUGUAUUGGAUACAAAUAUUCUUAAUAAUUGCCACAUUGUUAUUAUGUCUUGGUUGUUGGAGGGCAGCAUUUUUGGAAAAUUAAAUCAAUGGCAUUUUGUACAACAGUGUCUAUAAGCAGCACUUUUUCUAUAAAGAAAUCCUUAGAGUCAA
rnacentral:lncRNA from 11 species